CUUUUUUUUUCUUAAUUGACAUUCAGAUCACUGUAAGACACUGGAAAGGUGGUAAUAGCAGAUGGUCAGUGGGCGACGUGUGACGGGAAUCUGAAAAACUUUUGCCACUCCACUGAAGGAUAAGGGCAGAGCAAUGAUCAGCAAGGUGUAAGGCAACUGGAUAUUGUCACAAAAAUCCUCCACAGAGAAAACACAAAAGGACGCCACCUGCACUCUGCUAGCAAUCUAUGCUGAACUAGCAGGUGUUUCUCCUAAGGACCACGGAGCAGCUGACCCCCUCCAGGUAGCUCAUAAGAGAGGAGAGGAGAGCAGACCAGACCACACCACCUCCACGUGGGAAAGCAAGCAGGAGUGCAGCAGCUUUAGGUGAUAACAGACUUCCCUUCUAGCCCUGAAUUGAGCUAUAUCUGCUCUGCUCACAUGCCAGUUCUCCUGGCAAGUCUGAAAUAUGGGAGUUAUAGACCCACAUUUCAAUGCCUGCCCAGCAGACAUCAUGGAGGACAUGUGCACUUUCAGGAUGGAGAUCUCCUUGCUGGUAUCUCUGAAGGCAGAUCUGUGGAAGCAACUUCCAAGUAAAAUGAAAGACUGUAGAAGACCAACACUGGAAGCUUUUUUGUUUUAUCCCAUGUAACUGUUUUCUUCAUGACAAUGCAAUGUCUGUGUCAAGGCUAUAAAAUAAAAUACCUCUUUUCCAGAAAUGAAUAAAUCAGAGUUGUCAGCCAAGCCUGCAGGUCUCCCAUAGUCAAUAAGUGCACUUGCAAGUCUGAAAAGGAGAUGAAUCUUUCUGGGACAGUCUACAAAACAGUGAAACAUGUUCCCCUGCAAGCUAGAGAUUGUGGUAGCUUUCAAAAAAACAAAUCCCAAGAACAAGUUGCAUAUCAUCCAAACUAUAGCAGCAACAUAGU